GUCCCUGUGGCGCAGUGGAUAGCGCGUUGGACUUCUAAUCCAAAGGUCGUGGGUUCGAUCCCCACCAGGGAUG
rnacentral:tRNA from 6 species